rnacentral:rRNA from 1 species
UACGAAGGGGGCUAGCGUUGCUCGGAAUCACUGGGCGUAAAGCGCACGUAGGCGGAUUGCUAAGUCAGGGGUGAAAUCCUGGAGCUCAACUCCAGAACUGCCUUUGAUACUGGCGACCUUGAGUCCGGGAGAGGUGAGUGGAACUGCGAGUGUAGAGGUGAAAUUCGUAGAUAUUCGCAAGAACACCAGUGGCGAAGGCGGCUCACUGGCCGGGUACUGACGCUGAGGUGCGAAAGCGUGGGGAGCAAACAGG